rnacentral:rRNA from 1 species
CCUACGGGAGGCAGCAGUGGGGAAUAUUGGACAAUGGGGGCAACCCUGAUCCAGCCAUGCCGCGUGUGUGAAGAAGGCCCUCGGGUUGUAAAGCACUUUCAGCGAGGAAGAACGCCUAGCGGUUAAUACCCGCUAGGAAAGACAUCACUCGCAGAAGAAGCACCGGCUAACUCCGUGCCAGCAGCCGCGGUAAUACGGAGGGUGCAAGCGUUAAUCGGAAUUACUGGGCGUAAAGCGCGCGUAGGUGGCUUGAUAAGCCGGUUGUGAAAGCCCCGGGCUCAACCUGGGAACGGCAUCCGGAACUGUCAAGCUAGAGUGCAGGAGAGGAAGGUAGAAUUCCCGGUGUAGCGGUGAAAUGCGUAGAGAUCGGGAGGAAUACCAGUGGCGAAGGCAGCCUUCUGGACUGACACUGACACUGAGGUGCAAAAGCGUGGGUAGCAAACAGGAUUAGAUACCCUGGUAGUCCACGCCGUAAACGAUGUCGACCAGCCGUUGGGUGCCUAGCGCACUUUGUGGCGAAGUUAACGCGAUAAGUCGACCGCCUGGGGAGUACGGCCGCAAGGUUAAAACUCAAAUGAAUUGACGGA